rnacentral:rRNA from 1 species
AUUGAACGCUGGCGGCAGGCCUAACACAUGCAAGUCGAACGGUAACAGAAAGCAGCUUGCUGCUUUGCUGACGAGUGGCGGACGGGUGAGUAAUGUCUGGGAAACUGCCUGAUGGAGGGGGAUAACUACUGGAAACGGUAGCUAAUACCGCAUAACGUCGCAAGACCAAAGAGGGGGACCUUCGGGCCUCUUGCCAUCGGAUGUGCCCAGAUGGGAUUAGCUAGUGGGUGGGGUAAAGGCUCACCUAGGCGACGAUCCCUAGCUGGUCUGAGAGGAUGACCGGCGACACUGGAACGGGGACACGGUCCAGACGCCUACGGGAGGGAGCAGUGGGGAAUAUUGCACAAUGGGCGCAAGCCUGAUGCAGCCAUGCCGCGUGUAUGAAGAAGGCCUUCGGGUUGUAAAGUACUUUCAGCGGGGAGGAAGGGAGUAAAGUUAAUACCUUUGCUCAUUGACGUUACCCGCAGAAGAAGCACCGGCUAACUCCGUG